rnacentral:rRNA from 1 species
UACGUAGGGCGCAAGCGUUGUCCGGAAUUACUGGGCGUAAAGAGCUCGUAGGUGGUUUGUCGCGUUGUUCGUGAAAUCUCACGGCUUAACUGUGAGCGUGCGGGCGAUACGGGCAGACUAGAGUACUGCAGGGGAGACUGGAAUUCCUGGUGUAGCGGUGGAAUGCGCAGAUAUCAGGAGGAACACCGGUGGCGAAGGCGGGUCUCUGGGCCGAUACUGACGCUGAGGAGCGAAAGCGUGGGGAGCGAACAGG